rnacentral:ncRNA from 2 species
AUUGUGUUGCAGGGGGACUGUUAUCAGUUGAGAGGAUUUAUUAUCCGACCCUUUGAACCUGUCAGUUAAUACUGUCGUAGGGAGCAAGGAUUGAUUUUUA